GGCUACUCGACCCUGUUUCUUCACGCAAAGCAGCAAAAUUGCCAGAAGAACCAGCUGAGAAAUUUGCAUUUCAUGGACUUGCAAAAGAAGACCAACGUAAAGACAAACAUACAAAGGAGUAUUGCUGCCACUGCCCAGAAGAUAUGGAUUCCAGGAGGAAGGACAGAGCCCUGAUUGGUUCUCUCACCCUCAUCCUACAAAUACAGUUACCCUCCCCUUUCUGAAGUCAUCAGCUGCUGUUCCCCAACACUUCGCCUGCAUAGGUGUGGGUGAAGCAGAGACGGCUUUUGUGGAGAUGUCCUUAAUCUGAGUUAUGGAAGGAAAGUUUCUAUGGGGGGUCAAGUUCCUCCUCAUCUUCUGCAUAGGUUAAGAUGGUGCUAGCUGUUGUAAAGGCUUCCGUUUUCAAGACUCUGACAGUUUGGACACACAGCAGACAGAGAGCCUUUUGAACAUUAGAACAGAUCCACUGGCCCUUUGCACCCCCAGUGCUUAGCUCAGUGGUAGGGCAUAAGAAGG
ensembl:lncRNA